CGAAGUGCCGGGCACAUUUGGGGGAGGAGUGGAGCACGUCCAAUUUUUAUUUUAUUUUUUUAAAUGAAAAAUCAUUUUUUUUUCUUAAAAAUUUGACCGUUUGUGAUUUUUUUUUUAAAUUUUGUACCGUUUGGGGGAGGGAUAGGGUUAACGGAUAGAUUGUAGGCUUUUUUUUUUUUUUUCAAUUUCCUUCCAUAUACCUCUAUAUAUACUUCUCUUUUCUCCAUUAAAUUUACACAAGUACAUUCCUCAAAUUU
rnacentral:lncRNA from 1 species